GAUGAACGCUGGCGGUAUGCUUAACACAUGCAAGUCGAACGGACUCUUCGGGGUUAGUGGCGGACGGGUGAGUAACGCGUGAGAAUCUGGCUUUGGGUUCGGGACAACCACUGGAAACGGUGGCUAAUACCGGAUGUGCCGAGAGGUAAAAGAGAAAUUGCCCGCAGAUGAGCUCGCGUCUGAUUAGCUAGUUGGUGAGGUAAAGGCUCACCAAGGCAGCGAUCAGUAGCUGGUCUGAGGGGAUGACCAGCCAAACUGGGACUGCGACACGGCCCAGACUCAUACGGGAGGAAGCAGUGGGGAAUUAUCGGGAAUGGGCGAAAGCGUGACGGAGCAAUACCGCGUGAGGGAAGAAGGCUCUUGGGUUGUAAACCUCUUUUCUUAGGGAAGAACAAAAUGACGGUACCUAAGGAAUAAGCAACGGCUAACUCCGUG
rnacentral:rRNA from 1 species